rnacentral:rRNA from 1 species
CCUACGGGAGGCAGCAGUGAGGAAUAUUGGUCAAUGGGCGGAAGCCUGAACCAGCCAAGUAGCGUGCGGGAUGAAGGCCCUACGGGUCGUAAACCGCUUUUGCACGGGGAUAACACCCUCCACUUGUGGAGGUCUGCAGGUACCGUGCGAAUAAGGGCCGGCUAAUUCCGUGCCAGCAGCCGCGGUAAUACGGAAGGCCCGAUCGUUAUCCGGCUUCAUUGGGCUUAAAGGGAUCGUAGGCGGGCGUUCAGGUCAGCGGUAAAAGCGCGCGGCUCAACCGCGCCCCGCAGUUGAAACUGGACGCCUUGAGUUCACAACAGGCAGGCGGAAUUCGUGGUGUAGCGGUGAAAUGCAUAGAUAUCACGAGGAACCCCGAUUGCGAAGGCAGCCUGCCGGGGUGCGACUGACGCUGAGGCUCGAAGGUGCGGGUAUCAAACAGGAUUAGAUACCCUGGUAGUC